rnacentral:rRNA from 1 species
GUGUCAGCAGCCGCGGUAAUACGGAGGGUGCGAGCGUUAAUCGGAAUUACUGGGCGUAAAGCGCAUGCAGGCGGCCUGUUAAGUCAGAUGUGAAAGCCCGGGGCUUAACCUCGGAAUUGCAUUUGAAACUGGCAGGCUAGAGUCUUGUAGAGGGGGGUAGAAUUUCAGGUGUAGCGGUGAAAUGCGUAGAGAUCUGAAGGAAUACCAGUGGCGAAGGCGGCCCCCUGGGCAAAGACUGACGCUCAGAUGCGAAAGCGUGGGGAGCAAACAGG